GGCCAUCAGGAUCCCCUGCUUUACCCCAGCUUUGCUCUUCCUUUUUUCUCCAACUUGAAUCAUAUAUGAUUUAAUCAUAUUAGCUUUUCAGGAUUCUGUUUAGGGUUCAUCUGCACCAAGGCUUCUUGGGUUUUCUCAGUUGUGCUAGGGGCCUCCUUUUCUAAAGCAUCAAUAACAGUGUCUCUCUAUCAUUAUUUAUGCGGAAGUUUCCCCCAUUCACCUAUAAUCUGUCCAGUGACAGGUGUUAAAUGCUGGUUGAUUUUUAAUACACACAGUAAUGAGCACAGCACUGGGAAAAUUAGAGGAAGCAAAGAAACUGAAGCAAAUUAAAUUACACAAGGGAGAUUCAAUUAAAAAUUGGAGAGCAGAGUCAAAUGAGAAUGAAGUUUACUCGAAAAUACAAUGACGAGGGAAGAAUACAAGCGUAAAAGCAGUGUGAGACCUGAUGAGACUAGAGAUUGGAGCUGUCACUAUAUUCCAACUAGUAUUGCUUCCAGUUAUGGGAGACAAAACUCAAGUCACACCCAAAAUGGGAUGCCUAAUUGGAGAACUUCAUCAUCACACUGCAACAUCAUGGGCUAUAAUUCUUUAUAGAUGAAAAUAAAUCUACCAUCCAGGAACUACAUGUAAAAUUACCAGUGUGUGGGCUUAGUGUGAAGUGAAAGGAAGAGGAAAUUUUCUCUAGGAAAUGAUGACCACAAGCAGUCCGAAUGUUUACUGUAUUUAGGGGUGAGGAGAGCUUAUCAAGGGGGAGUUACCUUUAGUCAAAGCCUAAAAGUUUCAAGGCAUAUGAGUUUACAGUUUUAAAAUACAAAGCUAAAAAUAAAAAAAACGCCAUGCUAGACAGCAUAAAAAAAUAAAAGAACAGGAGUAGGAAGGGGAAGAAAGUGAGAAAGAGAAAAUAAAGAGAAAAAAAUGAAAGAAAGAUCGAAGUCACUUCAUUAUUAGUUAUACUGAACUGGCAUAAAUAUUUUCAUUUGCAUAUAAUUUCCUCAGAGGACAUAAAUGUAAAGAAUAGUACCACUCUGAUUCCAAAACUGUGGUAAAAUCUUGAGGGUGUGAGAGGUAUGAUACAACUAGGUACUGUGUAAUCCAAAUAGUAAAACCUAGUAAAGAUGUGAGAAAAACAUGUCUAUUUCAUUAAGUAAUACAAAUGAUCUUCAAAUAUUAACAAACUGUAUUUAACACUAUAGCCACUGUUUAGCCAGGAAAGCAAGUAUUGUUUAGUGUUUGAAAAACAAUCACAUCUUGUAUUUGACUUUGUAAUGGAAAGCAAGAACAAGUGAGAGAAAUAAAUUAGAAAGGAAGACAUAAAGCUAUUAUUCACAGGUGAAGAGAAUGUGUAUUUAGAACUCAAACUUACUUACAAAUAAAUUACUAGAAACAAUACAAGAUUUUAGCAAGUUUUCUAGGUUCGUAAUUCAUGUAAAAUAUAACUUCUAUUUCAUUGUGUCUAUAUGUGAGAAAAAUAUAACUUGAGGUAUCAAGAAAUAAAAGAUAGGACCUUCAUAGGGAAAAUAAACUUAUUGAAAAAUAUUAAAGCUUAUGUAAAGGAACAGGGAGAUCUUUUUCAUAGAUUGGAUGACUCGGGAGCUUAGCCGAGUCAGUUUGCUCCAAGUUAAUUUAUGUAGUCAAUAAAAUUCUAGUAAAAAUAUUUCCAAAGGAUUUUUAAAUGGACUUUGAUAAGCUGUUGCUAAAAUGUACAUGAAAGAACAGUGCACCAGAAAUAGCUAUGACAUUUCACAUGCCUAAAAAAUAAUUAUUACUAAAAUACAGUAAUUUAUACCAUGGACCAAAAGAAUAGACAAGUUAAGGAAUCCUCAAACAGUCCCUUCCAUGUAUGAAAAUUUGGUGACAUAGAUAACACUUGAUAUGAAUUGAAAAAUGUUAAACUCUUUAAUAAAUAAAAAAUUAUGAAAUUGAACCUCCUUCUCAUUCCAUACCAAAAUUCAAUUCUAUGUAGAUUUUCUAUUCAUGUAUACAACGCAAAACUAUAAAAUUCAGAAACAAGGUAAGAUUACCAAUUGCGACUUACAUAUAAGAAAUAGUUCCUUAGAUGAGACACUUAAGAAAUUGUGGCUUGAGCAAUCAGUACAAAUGCAGUGAUUUUUUUUUUUUAAUUAUAGACACAUCUUUGCUUAGUGAAAGGCUCUGACCCUGGACAGUAUUUACAAAGAUAUACACCUCACUGAGUUUGAAAGAAGGAAUUGCAGUGAGCGUGGUCAGGAGCCUCUUGACUCCUUAGACCUCAGCUAGUUCCCUAGAGAACUGAUAAAGAGAGC
ensembl:lincRNA